CGGACGGUGAGUAACGCGGUGGGAACCUCGCCCUGUACCGGGGGAUAGCAGCCGGAAACGGCUGAUAAUACCGCAUAAGCGCACGAAUGUCGCAUGACAUGGUGUGAAAAACUCCGGUGGUAUAGGAUGGACCCGCGUCUGAUUAGCCUGUUGGUGGGGUAAAAGCCUACCAAAGCGAAGAUCAGUAGCCGAGUUGAGAGACUGACCGGCCACAUUGGGACUGAGACACGGCCCAGACUCCUACGGGAGGCAGCAGCU
rnacentral:rRNA from 1 species